GACGAACGCUGGCGGCGUGCCUAAUACAUGCAAGUCGAACGCUGAAGGAGGAGCUUGCUUCUCUGGAUGAGUUGCGAACGGGUGAGUAACGCGUAGGUAACCUGCCUGGUAGCGGGGGAUAACUAUUGGAAACGAUAGCUAAUACCGCAUAAGAGUAGAUGUUGCAUGACAUUUGCUUAAAAGGUGCAAUUGCAUCACUACCAGAUGGACCUGCGUUGUAUUAGCUAGUUGGUGGGGUAACGGCUCACCAAGGCGACGAUACAUAGCCGACCUGAGAGGGUGAUCGGCCACACUGGGACUGAGACACGGCCCAGACUCCUACGGGAGGCAGCAGUAGGGAAUCUUCGGCAAUGGACGGAAGUCUGACCGAGCAACGCCGCGUGAGUGAAGAAGGUUGUCGGAUCGUAAAGCUCUGUUGUAAGAGAAGAACGAGUGUGAGAGUGGAAAGUUCACACUGUGACGGUAUCUGACCAGAAAGGGACGGCUAACUACGUG
rnacentral:rRNA from 1 species